AACGAACGCUGGCGGCGCGCCUAAUACAUGCAAGUCGAGCGAGAAGGUGUAGCAAUACACUUGUAAAGCGGCGAACGGGUGAGGAAUACAUGGGUAAUCUACCAUCGAGUGGGGAAUAACCAACCGAAAGGUUGGCUAAUACCGCGUACGCCUCCGAGUCUUCGGGUUCGGAGGGAAAGCUGCACUGUGAGUGUAGCGCUCUUUGAUGAGCUCAUGUCCUAUCAGCUUGUUGGUAGGGUAACGGCCUACCAAGGCUUUGACGGGUAGCUGGUCUGAGAGGACGAUCAGCCACACUGGCACUGCGACACGGGCCAGACUCCUACGGGAGGCAGCAGUAAGGAAUAUUGCGCAAUGGGCGAAAGCCUGACGCAGCGACGCCGCGUGGGGGAUGAAGGUCUUCGGAUUGUAAACCCCUUUCGGGAGGGAAGAUGGAGCGAGCAAUCGUUCGGACGGACCUCCAGAAGCAGCCACGGCCAACUUCGUGCCAGCAG
rnacentral:rRNA from 1 species